GUGAAGGUGGGCGGUCAGUGAGAGAUGAGCGGCAGAAAGGUGCCAGCAGGGGCAGGGUAGGCCGCGCCGCCACACACCGCAGCACCCGAUAUGCCGCAUCUUGCCAGCGUCCUUUUUAUGGUAUCUUCAUACCAGAGACUUUUGAUGGUGGCGGCUGGGCGGUGAUGGGUGGCUCUGCCGCGAGCAACGGUGCAGCGGCAGCGGCAGACGUGGUGGCAGC